rnacentral:snRNA from 1 species
AGCUUUGUGCAGUGGCAGUAUCAUAGCCAAUGAGGUUUAUCCGAGGCGUGAUUAUUGCUAAUUGAAGAAAAAAAAAGAAAAA